AUGGAGGCGCGGCCGGCAGGGGGAGCGAGGCGGAAGGGAGCCGCGGCCGGGCCAGGUGAGGGAGGAAGGCUUCCCGCGGGCGGCGGCGCGGCGUGCGCGAUGGGCUGUGCGGGACGCCGGCCUGCGGGCGGGCGCGCUCCCUCCGGGCUGCGGGCGAGUCCGGGGCUGGGGCGACGGCGGCGGCCAGGGCGAGGGCGCGGGCGGGUUGCGGGGCGGCGGAGUGAAGAGCGAGAGGGCGGUGCGGUGCCCCAGGAAGAACGGAGGGAGGUUCCGAGAAGCGCAGCCCGGGUGGGCGGUGGACGCAGAGACUCUGCCCUGGGUUGGAGGCUCCGGCGGCCUCGCGCUUCGAGCGCUUCGGGCCCCUUCAGUCGAGGGCUCCAGGAGGGCCCCGGCGUUGAACAGCGGGGUCCCCGGCUCUGCAGUUUCUCGGGUGAGUAUCGCCAACGGGUGGAGAGGGGUCGACCCCGCGAAGACAGAGCAGGCCUAAGUGAGGCUCCCUCACCUCUUCCCAGAGCCCUUUUCCCCAACCAGGGUUUGCCCACCCCAGAGUCCCCAACUCUGGCACUUUUGCCCACCCAGCCAGACCCAGCAGCUCUCAGUUCCAGCAGGAAGGGGUUAAUAAGGGGCUGGGAGGAUCAGGCACUGGCAGACACGGAGGGCCAAGGGCCUCGGGACAGUGCCCGGGAGGCCCAUCCAGGAAGCCCCAGAUUUUUUCGCUUUCACUUCUCCCUUCUUAAUAUUGGUGUCACCCUCGGACUCCACAUCUGGCUGCUGCCCUCAGGUGUGUGCCCAGAUAUGCGCGGAAGCCUCCCCAGGUGCACAGGACACAACCACCGGCAUCACCACAUGCUGGGGCAGCAUGCAUCCCAGAUCGUGCACAACAGCAGGCAGGAACCCCACCCAGACUCCCCACAUGGGUCCCACAUGCAGCCUGUAGGGCCCAGGGCCUCUCUGGAUGCCGACUGCCAGCAUGAGGUACCCCUGGUGACACUGUCCUGCAUGCCUUUCUGGGUAUGGACUGCCAGCAGUGGGCACGCCUCCUGCAACACUGCCAUGACCAGCCCUUACCAAUGUCCCUUCCUAGCUGGGCUCUCCUAUCAGAAGCAGCUUCUCCUGGGGUCCUGGAGGCAGGGGGCUGCCCUGCUCAGGGGAGAGGGAGAGGGACCUUAA
rnacentral:lncRNA from 1 species